CUCCCAGUAUUAGUCCAGACCUCCGAAUCACCACCGAGGUCGGAUUUGUUCAGCGUUUCAAGUAGGUAUGUUGUUGUGGUGUCAUUGACAGCUGUUUCCCAGGUUGGCUCUGUAGGUUGGAUACAGAUUGAGGACGUCCUCCGUCUUCACCGCCGGCCACCAUGACUGCAGCUGCAUCCAUGACAAAAAGCAACGGAAAAAUGGCUACAAAAAUACAGACCAGCAUGGGUAAGACUGAUGCAGCUGCACAGGUUGUUAUAAGGUGACUUACAGAAAUAACAACUCGACUCAACAUAGUUCUCUGAUCUUUGAGGAAAAACACUAGCAACCACUACUGCAGCUUCCAUGUCGAGUGACCAUGUCGUGACUCCAGCUCCUUCUUUAAAAAGGGAGUACAGUGAAAAUAACUCUCAGAUCACCACUGGGAGAAGAGCACGACUUGUGAUGAGGGGCAGUAGGUAACACUGCUUCUUUUGGACGGAUCACAGCCUGAAAAGGCGCCAUACAUCGCCAUACUCUCUGUAAAUGUCCUGUCAUCUUU